rnacentral:rRNA from 1 species
UACGAAGGGGGCUAGCGUUGCUCGGAAUCACUGGGCGUAAAGCGCACGUAGGCGGCUUUCUAAGUCAGGGGUGAAAUCCUGGAGCUCAACUCCAGAACUGCCUUUGAUACUGGAAAGCUUGAGUACGGGAGAGGUGAGUGGAACUGCGAGUGUAGAGGUGAAAUUCGUAGAUAUUCGCAAGAACACCAGUGGCGAAGGCGGCUCACUGGCCCGAUACUGACGCUGAGGUGCGAAAGCGUGGGGAGCAAACAGG